GCACUCACUUUGACAGCACAUACAUUGAAACUGAAAUGAUACACAGAAGGUUAGCAUGACCCUUGUACAAGGAUGCCAUGUAAAUUCAUGAACGGUUCCAUUUUUUU
ensembl:snRNA U6 U6 spliceosomal RNA